UGCUCGCAUCUAUGGUUCCAGAUUUCUUUCCUAAGAAUACACUCGGCGUGGUUCCGGAACCCUAGAGUUACUCUUAAACCAGGCUGUCCAAGAUGUACUGCUCCAUCUGAAAGUCAAGGUCCGUGCCACCUAAGUGGGUUCCCGCAGCAAGGAAUUUGAGGACAUCCUCCUCCUUCAUCUGCAGGACGUCAAGGGCUCCGGACAUUGUCCUGGAAGGAGCUGAGCACAUCAAGAAGGGCUGAGCACAGUAUCCAAGCACAGGAUGCUGGCAGAUGGCUGGAGAGAGGACUGAGGGAUGCUGAAGAGUGGGAAGACUGUUUUGAAACUGCCACAUGGCUUAUGAUGGGCGUCACUAGGAAGGAGGAAAACACUAAAAGAGCAAGAAAGGAGAAGUGACUCUACUGCUAGGAUGGAAUUUGCACUUCAGAUACAAGCUGCUGCUCACUGACAGAGAAACUAGUCUACCAGAUACCUGAAUUGCAAGGAAAGUUGCCAUUUCAUAGAUGGAAAACACAACAAGAAAACAGUAAUAUUUCAAAAUGUCAAGUCACGCCAGCACCUCAGAUGUGGGGUUCCUUUACUGCUGUUACUUUAAAAAUAAUUGUGUUUCAUUAAAAACUGGAAACCUCCUCUCUGUCCCCACACCCCUCCUCUCAGGCCCUGGGAUUUGCCAAAAGUCAACUACCGUAACAAUGGUGAAAGGGGGUAAGGAGGCCCUCCUCUAGCCAGGGCCUCUUGCCAGGGACAGCAGUGCUCCUUCUCUGGCACUUCUUGUGCACAAAGGACUCUCCAGCUUUGAGUGGGAAGUCUGAGACAAGACAGAGCUGUGAACGCGCUCAUGAGGGCUGUGCAUUGCAAGCUCUGGCCGUUGUUUCCUUCUGUGUAUGCUGUUUGUUUAUUUAUUUAUUUCCUGACCAAUGAAAACUCAGUGCAC
rnacentral:lncRNA from 1 species